rnacentral:rRNA from 1 species
GAUGAACGCUGGCGGCGUGCCUAAUACAUGCAAGUCGAGCGAACAGACGAGGAGCUUGCUCCUCUGACGUUAGCGGCGGACGGGUGAGAAACACGUGGAUAACCUACCUAUAAGACUGGGAUAACUUCGGGAAACCGGAGCUAAUACCGGAUAAUAUAUUGAACCGCAUGGUUCAAUAGUGAAAGACGGUUUUGCUGUCACUUAUAGCUGGAUCCGCGCCGCAUUAGCUAGUUGGUAAGGUAACGGGUUACCAAGGCAACGAUGCGUAGCCGACCGGCGAGGGUGAUCGGCCACACUGGAACUGGAACACGGUCCAGACUCCUAAGGGAGGCAGCAGUAGGGAAUCUUCCGCAGUGGGCGAAAGCCUGACGGAGCAACGCCGCGUGAGUGAUGAAAGUCUUCGGAUCGUAAAACUCUGUUAUUAGGGAAGAACAAAUGUGUAAGUAACUAUGCACGUCUUGACGGUACCUAAUCAGAAAGCCACGGCUAACUACGUG